UGGGGAAUUUUGCACAAUGGGGGAAACCCUGAUGCAGCGACGCCGCGUGAUUUAGAAGGCCUUCGGGUUGUAAAAAUCUUUUCUAUGGGAAGAAAAUGACAGUACCAUAGGAAUAAGGACCGGCUAAUUACGUGCCAGCAGCCGCGGUAAUACGUAAGGUCCGAGCGUUGUCCGGAAUCAUUGGGCGUAAAGGGUACGUAGGCGGGUAAGCAAGUUAGAAGUGAAAUCCUAUAGCUCAACUAUAGUAAGCUUUGAAAACUGCUCAUCUUGAGGUAGGGAAGGGAAAGUGGAAGUCCUAGUGUAGCGGUGAAAUGCACAGAUAUUAGGAAGAAUACCGGUGGCGAAGGCGACUUUCUGGCCAUAACCUGACGCUGAGGUACGAAAGCGUGGGUAGCAAACAGG
rnacentral:rRNA from 1 species